UACGGAGGGUGCAAGCGUUAUCCGGAUUCACUGGGUUUAAAGGGUGCGUAGGUGGGUCUGUAAGUCCGUGGUGAAAUCUCCAAGCUUAACUUGGAAACUGCCGUGGAUACUAUAGGUCUUGAAUACCGUGGAGGUGAGCGGAAUAUGUCAUGUAGCGGUGAAAUGCUUAGAUAUGACAUAGAACACCAAUUGCGAAGGCAGCUCACUACACGAUUAUUGACACUGAGGCACGAAAGCGUGGGGAUCAAACAGG
rnacentral:rRNA from 2 species